AUGGCCAUGUCCAUCCUCGGCGCUCUCAAGCUCGCCCCGUCCCCGCCGGCGACGACGGCGCAGCCGGCGUGUCGCGCCCCCUCCUCGCUGCACUUCCACCUCGCCAACGCCGGCGCCGUCGCGCUGGUCGCCGCCUCGCUGCUCGUCGCCGACCCGGCCCUCGCCUUCAGGGGAGGCGGGCCGUACGGGCAGCAGGUGACGCGGGGGCAGGACCUCACCGGGAAGGACUUCAGCGGCCAGACGCUCAUCAAGCAGGACUUCAAGACCUCUAUCCUGCGGCAGACCAACUUCAAAGGCGCGAACCUGCUCGGCGCCAGCUUCUUUGAUGCGGACCUGACAGGCGCUGAUCUCUCCAACGCCGACCUUAGAAACGCCGAUUUCUCGCUGGCAAAUGUAACAAAGGUAAAUUUAACAAAUGCCAACUUGGAAGGGGCACUUGUGACAGGGAACACUUCUUUCAAAGGUUCCAACAUAUACGGGGCAGAUUUUACUGAUGUUCCACUACGAGACGACCAACGGGACUACCUCUGCAAAAUUGCUGAUGGGGUAAAUACAACUACCGGGAACGCUACGAAGGAGACUCUCUUCUGCAAAUAA
rnacentral:rRNA from 1 species